ACCGAAAAAUAGGAAAUGGUCAAUGAUACAAACAAUGACAAUGUUACACGCACAUCUUGCUUGUUACUGGUAUGGCCCUUUGUGAAAUAAAGUUUUCUAGAGAACAAAGGAAAAACAACAAAGUAACAUAUCUCGUUUAAGGUUGAUGGAUUGGUGUGCAAUCCUAGUGUUAAGCUGAUCAUGACUUCUAUUGAUGAAGAUAUAGGGACAGGCUUGCUUCUUCCAUCAUAAUCCCCUUUCUCUUUACGGGACUGUGCAUGUGUAUAGAUAUGCGUCAGGCUGGAUUUUAGGUUUCUUUCUUGACCUUGCAGGUGCAUCUAUGUUUGUCAGGUCUUAGUUAUCCAUGAAGAUGCUGCCACUGUGUCACAUUCAAGACACUUAUGAAUAUGUCAUAACAACAAAUCAAUGAAUACUUCAAUUCUUUACC